GACGAACGCUGGCGGCGUGCUUAACACAUGCAAGUCGAACGAUGAAGCCGGAGCUUGCUCUGGUGAAUUGGUGGCGAACGGGUGAGUAACACGUGAGUAACCUGCCCUUGACUCUGGGAUAACUGCGGGAAACUGUAGCUAAUACCGGAUACGACCCUCGGAGGCAUCUCCUGGGGGUGGAAAGAAUUUCGGUCAAGGAUGGACUCGCGGCCUAUCAGCUAGUUGGUGAGGUAAAGGCUCACCAAGGCGACGACGGGUAGCCGGCCUGAGAGGGUGGCCGGCCACACUGGGACUGAGACACGGCCCAGACUCCUACGGGAGGCAGCAGUGGGGAAUAUUGCACAAUGGGCGCAAGCCUGAUGCAGCAACGCCGCGUGAGGGAUGACGGCCUUCGGGUUGUAAACCUCUUUUAGCAGGGAAGAAGCGAAAGUGACGGUACCUGCAGAAAAAGCACCGGCUAACUACGUGCCAGCCGCCGCGGUAA
rnacentral:rRNA from 1 species